UGCGGAUCCAAAUCGCGUAAACUCCACAUUGGAUGGACGGUUGUUUUUGUUUCCAUCGAGGCCUACACACUAUUCCAACUGCUUGACUAUGCUGAACAACGGAGCACCACGCAGAAUAUGGAUUCUGAACCUGUCAAUACUCCUUCUCUUAAAUGCUUUUAGCACAUUAGAAGGUGCUAAGAUAGCUGGUGGAAAUGCUGUUGGAGCCUCUUGUGUUUUCCCUUUCAUCUAUAAGGGACAAACUUACAACUCUUGUACCAUGACAGACUAUUCCUCACUGUGGUGUGCGACAACAAGCAACUAUGAUAAAGACUUUCUGUGGACAACAUGUUCAAGUGCUAAGAUAGCUGGUGGAAAUGCUGUUGGAGCCUCUUGUG